rnacentral:rRNA from 1 species
GAUGAACGCUGGCGGCGUGUCUAACACAUGCAAGUCGAGCGAUCUUCUUCGGAAGAGAGCGGCGGACGGGUGAGUAACGCGUGGGUAACCUGCCCUGUACACACGGAUAACAUACCGAAAGGUAUGCUAAUACGAGAUAAUAUGCUUUUGUCGCAUGGUAGAAGUAUCAAAGCUCCGGCGGUACAGGAUGGACCCGCGUCUGAUUAGCUAGUUGGUAAGGUAACGGCUUACCAAGGCGACGAUCAGUAGCCGACCUGAGAGGGUGAUCGGCCACAUUGGAACUGAGACACGGUCCAAACUCCUACGGGAGGCAGCAGUGGGGAAUAUUGCACAAUGGGCGAAAGCCUGAUGCAGCAACGCCGCGUGAGCGAUGAAGGCCUCGGUCGUAAGCUCUGUCCUCAAGGAAGAUAAUGACGGUACUUGAGGAGGAAGCCCGGCCUAACUAACGUGCCAGCAGCCGCGGUAAACGGUACUACUG